rnacentral:rRNA from 1 species
UGCCGCGUGAGUGAAGAAGGCCUUCGGGUUGUAAAGCUCUUUCGGCGGGGAAGAAAUGGCAACGGCUAAUAUCCGUUGUUGAUGACGGUACCCGCAUAAGAAGCACCGGCUAACUACGUGCCAGCAGCCGCGGUAAUACGUAGGGUGCGAGCGUUAAUCGGAAUUACUGGGCGUAAAGCGUGCGCAGGCGGUUUCGUAAGACAGACGUGAAAUCCCCGGGCUCAACCUGGGAACUGCGUUUGUGACUGCGAGGCUAGAGUACGGCAGAGGGGGGUAGAAUUCCACGUGUAGCAGUGAAAUGCGUAGAGAUGUGGAGGAAUACCGAUGGCGAAGGCAGCCCCCUGGGUUAGUACUGACGCUCAUGCACGAAAGCGUGGGGAGCAAACAGGAUUAGAUACCCUGGUAGUCCACGCCCUAAACGAUGUCAACUAGGUGUUGGAAGGGUUAAACCUUUUAGUACCGCAGCUAACGCGUGAAGUUGACCGCCUGGGGAGUACGGCCGCAAGGUUAAAACUCAAAGGAAUUGACGGGGACCCGCACAAGCGGUGGAUGAUGUGGAUUAAUUCGAUGCAACGCGAAAAACCUUACCUACCCUUGACAUGCCAGGAACUUUCCAGAGAUGGAUUGGUGCCCGAAAGGGAGCCUGGACACAGGUGCUGCAUGGCUGUCGUCAGCUC